UACCCUUGACAUGUCCGGAAUCCUGCAGAGAUGCGGGAGUGCUCGAAAGAGAACCGGAACACAGGUGCUGCAUGGCUGUCGUCAGCUCGUGUCGUGAGAUGUUGGGUUAAGUCCCGCAACGAGCGCAACCCUUAUCAUUAGUUGCUACGCAAGGGCACUCUAAUGAGACUGCCGGUGACAAACCGGAGGAAGGUGGGGAUGACGUCAAGUCCUCAUGGCCCUUAUGGGUAGGG
rnacentral:rRNA from 1 species